UACAGAGGUCCCAAGCGUCGUUCGGAUUCACUGGGCGUAAAGGGUGCGUAGGUGGUGAAGUAAGUCGGAUGUGAAAUCUCGGAGCUUAACUCCGAAACUGCAUUGGAAACUACUUUGCUCGAGGGUUGGAGGGGGGACUGGAAUUCUCGGUGUAGCAGUGAAAUGCGUAGAUAUCGAGAGGAACACCAGUGGCGAAGGCGGCUUGCCAGAAUGCGCUCGACGGUGAGGGAUGAAAGCUGGGGGAGCAAACCGG
rnacentral:rRNA from 1 species